rnacentral:rRNA from 1 species
UACGUAGGGUGCGAGCGUUAAUCGGAAUUACUGGGCGUAAAGCGUGCGCAGGCGGUUCGCUGUGUCUGCGGUGAAAGCCCCGGGCUCAACCUUUGAACUGUUGGUAAUACUGCUAUACUAAGAGGGCGUUAGAGGCUAACGGAACCGACGGAGUAGGGGUGAAAUCCGUUGAUAUCGUCGGGAACACCAAAAGCGAAGGCAGUUAGCUGGGACGACCCUGACACUGAGAGACGAAAGCGUGGGGAGCAAAAAGG